AGACUGAGAAGUGGCCCCCAGGGGUAGAGUGGAGGCAGAGGACAGAUCUCCAGGGAAAGGUCAGCCUUGAGAGACAGAUGUGAGAGUCAUGGACACACAGGAUGAGACGAACCAGCUAGGGAUAUGGCUUCAGAAAGAAAGAGUACCAAGGCCAGAAGUCUGAAGAAUUCCAUCUAAGAGAUAAGUCAUCAGAGAGAAGAAUAGCAAAAAAUAGCGGUCAAGGGAAGCAGUUCAGGGAGGGGUGAUCGACAGAACCCAGCAGCACUGAGGCAUGGUGCAAGAUAUCUGUACUGGAUUCUUCAUGGCCGAGGAUCUUAACCUCCUUCGUUUCAGACAUGGCACCCAAAACUGCAAGAAUCCCUAAGUGCACAGCAUCUUGCUUUAUGUGGCAUUUCCGCGGACAUCUAUAAAAAUCAAAUUCAAAGUUUAAUUUCCAUCUUUGGGACCAGACAUCCGUUUGCACGCGCACACCAAUCUCUCACUUAGUUGUCGGCCUCUUAGGCCUGGAUGGAUAAAGCGAAGGGAGCAAACAAGUCCACUGUCUGAUUGACCGAAGCGUGUGUCUGCAUGAAAAAGCCUGGGCAUUUUUACAUGAUGAGGGUAAUGAAGCCGGCAAGGUUUCUGCCGAGCCCUGGCUUUUAAUUAGUCAGUGACGCUUGAUAAAUUGCUCACCUCUUGGGCUGUAUCUUCACAUCCUCAGACAUCUGGAGGGAAACUGGAAAGGAAACGUCCUGCUCAUUCCAAAGAGCCAGAUGUGUGCCAUCACGCAGAAGGAAUGUCCAGAUGCCGGACGUCUCCACUGUAUUCCUCCAAGCGAGCCUUUCCUGUAGUCUUUUGGAAAGUCAGAUGAAGAACUUCUUUUUUUUUUUUUUUUUUUUUUUUUUUUUAACG